rnacentral:sRNA from 1 species
UCAGAGGUGAACGUGCGUAAAUUAUUUG